AGAGACAGCAGCCGCCGCGGUAAUACGAAGGGUGCAAGCGUUACUCGGAAUUACUGGGCGUAAAGCGUGCGUAGGUGGUGGUUUAAGUCCGUUGUGAAAGCCCUGGGCUCAACCUGGGAAUUGCAGUGGAUACUGGGUCACUAGAGUGUGGUAGAGGAUAGUGGAAUUUCCGGUGUAGCAGUGAAAUGCGUAGAGAUCGGAAGGAACAUCUGUGGCGAAGGCGACUAUCUGGGCCAACACUGACACUGAGGCACGAAAGCGUGGGGAGCAAACAGGAUUAGAUACCCCCGUAGUCCCUGUCUCUUAUAC
rnacentral:rRNA from 1 species